rnacentral:sRNA from 1 species
GUGCUGUUCUCUUCUAUCGCUGCAAUGC